CAAGUCCGUGUACUGAACUUCAUUUGACGGCUCUCUCACUGCGGACGGACGCAGUCACUACGCUGUUGUGUUUAGGCCAUAUCUCUUUUCAAGCGAAAUUGUGAAAUUUUCGUGUAAAAUUAUUAUCUGACGUAUCAGUGAAUUGGGAGAACGUGGUGGAAAUAGUGGGUUAAAUUAACGGCUUAAGUUGGCUUCUUCCGAAGCGAUUACUUAGACAAUCUAAAUAAUAUCAUAAUUACACUUUGCCAAUUACACUCGCUGAACUAUUUAUAGCGUGCUUCCUGGUUAUAUGGAUACCUUAGACAAGAAAACUAUCGGUAUUGGUAUAGAAAAACGCCACGCAAUACAUGUAAGAGGUGUUCAGAGCAGAAUGCAACCUUGAUUCAAUCUCAAAUCGGAACGUUCAGUUUUUGUCCCGCUUUUAUUUUCGAGUUUCACCUCCUGUGUAUAAUCUUCUUGAUGCUGGAUUAUAGGUAUGAAUCGAAGAUGAAUUUAUGAAAACGUAUUAGAUUAAAUAGUGUUUUAUUAGUACGUGACGCAAUCUAAUGAUACGAACCCACGGUAAUAGUGCGCCUUUUGUAAGAACGUACAAGUGUUAGACGAAAAGAUUUCGACUAUGGAAAUCUCAGGGUUUUACGUAAUUGGGAGUUCAGACAUCUAAACAUUCACAUAUGUAAUCAUGGAGAAAUUGAGAUGCUGGAUAUAACAAAGAUUUAUACAGUUGAUCUAUAAAAUAUAAUGGUUUUUGUUAAAUAAGUUCUGAAUAAUGAAUUUACAGCAAGCUUUGCCUGGUUAGCUAUGGAAAAUUAGGUGAAAUCAGAGACCGCACUAAUUUGAGUAGCAACCAAUUCCGCUCCGCUUUUCAGUAGAUGACGAGCUCACGACCACUCAUCAGCUAAAACCAGUCUAGGUGCAAACCUGGCGAUUUCGAACAAUAAUUCAUAUCCUUGUCGAGUUUUGAAUUAAACAAAGUAGUGUCACCUGCAGCGGAUUUCGGUCACGGUGUUCCUCAAGGUGGAGGCGCGAUUGAAACCGACCAGCCACAAACAUUUUUUCCGGGUACUGUUCCAUUCAACUUUUGUAAUUAUAUAUGUAAACACUUAUGUAUGGUUUGGUGCAUGCAGUAAAGUGGAAAUAUUCAAUGUAAGUGCGUAUAUAUAACAUACACACCAGUAUGCGGUCAUAGAAAAUGUUUAUUUAGAAUAAGUAUAAUAUUUAUGUCUUUAAUAUGUACAUACAUAUAUCUGAAAGUUUGGAAAUUCAUACAUGAAGGAAUAUUUUGAAUUUGUAGCUAUCUGCAAAAAGAAUAAACGUGCAUAGAAAGUU